rnacentral:rRNA from 1 species
CUACGGGCCGCACCAGUGGGGAAUAUUGCACAAUGGAGGAAACUCUGAUGCAGCAACGCCGCGUGGGGGAUGACACUUUUCGGAGCGUAAACUCCUUUUAUAUAGGAAGAAGAUGACGGUACUAUAUGAAUAAGCGCCGGCUAACUCCGUGCCAGCAGCCGCGGUAAUGCGGAGGGCGCAAGCGUUACUCGGAAUCACUGGGCGUAAAGAGCGUGUAGGCGGAUUAAAAAGUCAGAAGUGAAAUCCUAUAGCUUAACUAUAGAACUGCUUCUGAAACUCUUAAUCUAGAAUAUGGGAGAGGUAGAUGGAAUUUCUGGUGUAGGGGUAAAAUCCGUAGAGAUCAGAAGGAAUACCGAUUGCGAAGGCGAUCUACUAGAACAUUAUUGACGCUGAGACGCGAAAGCGUGGGGAGCAAACAGGAUUAGAUACCCUGGUAGUC